GAUUUACGAAAUUUUGAUUCGGACAGGUAUAUGCGACAGGAAUCUGAGCAAAUCGAAUCUGCAAGAGAGUGCAGUGUACUAUGAGAGCGCAGCUUGAUAGUGAUCUCACUUAGAAAACAAACAAGCUGCUCCUGGCUUUUGCCGA
ensembl:ncRNA Y57E12B.6 ncRNA